UGUACCAUCAUGCCGCUUAUUAAUACAGGAGGCGGGGCUUGUUAGAAAACUGGGGGAAAGAACAACGUUGUUGGAACAGAGUAGCCUAACAAUAUAGCAACUGCAAUUUUAUAUAAACACAAGGCAGAACCCUUCAGUUGAAGGCAGGCCAAACCAUGGGGAAGUCUCUGUUUUCCUUGCCGAAGCAAAAAGAGGAGCAGGAGAAUCUGAUUAAAAACACUGAGUCUCCUAUUGAGGACAAUAAACAUGACGUGUCACAGUUUCCAUAUGUUGAAUUCACAGGUAGAGACAGCAUCACCUGUCCUACUUGUCAAGGGACGGGGAGGAUACCUAGAGACCAAGAAAACCAACUAGUUGCUCUGAUACCAUACAGUGACCAGAGGCUGAAGCCACGACGAACGACAUUGUACGUGUCUUUAUCAGUCGUUCUGUGUCUGCUACUUUCUGGUUUGGCUGUAUUCUUCCUGUUCCCUCGAACUAUUGAUGUUUCUUAUGUUGGGGUGAAGUCAGCCUACGUCACAUUCGACCGAGACCGGCGGAUAAUUUAUCUAAAUAUCACGAUUACCCUGAACAUCACCAAUAAUAAUUACUACCCAAUUAGCGUUGCCAACAUCACAGCACAGGUGCAAUUCUACAGGACUGUUAUCGGAAAGUCUGUUGUCAGCAAUGUCACCACUAUCACCCCCCUGGAUAUGCGUCAGGUUGAUUUCACUGUUCCCACCAUCAUAGCAAAUGAGAUGAGCUACAUAUUUGACUACUGUACCAUGCCAUCAAUUAAAGUGCAUAACAUUGUUGUCAUGAUGCAGAUGACUGUAACUGUCUUGUACUUUGGCCAUGCUGAGCAGGUGUCUCAGGAGAAGUACCUGUACGUGGACUGUGGCUCAAACACAACAUCUUCACGUGGACACAUGAGUGUGAUACAGUGACGCCUCUCCGUAUGACCCACAGUCCGUCUUGUUCCCAUGUUGUGAAACAAAAGCUUGUCCGGAGUGUUACAAAUGGCAGAUGAUGAAGUCUGUACUGUAGGGUAACAACAUCAAGAUUGAUCAGGAAGUUUCAGGCAGAGCUCUGAUGUCUUUCUACACCGUCAUUAUCAAUUCUUUAGCACAGCACUGAAGGUUUUGCUUGGAUAGACAGAAGCACUUUAGUACAUUUUGGGAGAAGGGAUGACAUCUGCAGAAUAUUUUACAUAGAGCUGCAAACACUCAAACCACUUUUACUACUCCGUUACAAUUGUAUUUUUUCCUGUGCAUUUGUUUUGUAAUGUUAAACAGCGUGCUGCAAUUUCCACUUGAUCAUGCUCAUUUUCUGGUUAUUUAGCUCUUCGCGGAGCAGUAACUCUUUGUUUUUUUUUUGAGUAUGGUGUUAACAUCAACAUGCCAGCUAUCAGAAAUUGAAAUGGAGUUUAUGGAAAUGUUGUAUUAAUUCAUAUUUUGGAUUUUUCCAACCUGUAAGACUGCAAUAUUUUUUUUUGUGUCACUUCCCAUUUUUCUGUGAGAAUGAAGGUCUAAACUUACGUUUAAAAAACAAAACUAAACAAAUAUUAAAAAUGCAAACAGGUUUGAGGGUGAGUAAAUGAAGACAGAAUUUUGAAAAGUGAAUUUUAACCAGUGAAAGGGGGUCAAGAUUUUGAAGCCCCCCAAAAAUUCAUCCAUCCAAUAUAAAAAGUGCUCCACAUGGCUCUGGGAGUUAAUAAAGGCCUUCUGAAGCAAA